CGCCUGAUGGUGUAGCGGCAACACGCCUGCUUGUAUUAAGAUAGCAUACAGGUUUCAGCAGGAGAAAUCUUGUUCGACUCAAGGCUAGGCUG